GGAACACAAAGGACAUCUUGAAGAGUCAAAGUAUUCAUAAUGUUCACUGUUCCCAUAUGGGUAACAGGAACCUUGUUGCCAUUUGAUAAAGCAAUUGAAUAAGAAACAUCUGCCUGAAUAGCAGAGAAUAGUGAGGUGGAACAGAUCAUAUGAUCUGUCGCUCCUGUAUCUAAAAUCCAAGGGACAUCUAAGAUUUUAGAAGGCUUUGACUUAACAACAGACAUACAUAAAGAUAUACCAGGAAGUUGGUGUAUAAUUUCAUCAGAUGAAGAAGGAGUGACAAUACUCUGAGCAUUAUUGGCUGAGUGGAUCAAAUGUUGAGGAUUUGUGGUUGGUUUGAGGAGAGCCAUAAGCUAUGAAAUAUGCUCUUGACUUAAGAACACUUGUGAUUUAUCAUUCACCAUUUCCUGUGCAAGAGACAAGGACGCAGUUGCCUGAUUUGCUGAGUAUCUAUUCUUUACAUUGGAUUUGUGGCCUGAUCGGUAUCCAUUGAGCUUGAAACACUUAUCUGCAGAAUGACCAGGAAUCUUACACUGUGAGCAAAUUGGUUUCUAUGGAUUGGCUUUGAAACAUCUUUCAAUUGAAUGCCCUGAGAUUUUACACUAAGUACAAUAAUAUGUGUCCCUUUUCUGCUUAGAAACGUUCUAUUUUCCCUUCUCUUUGAAACUCACUCUGGAAAGAAGAAGCCAUCGACUCACGUACAUACUCAGUCGAUAUUUCUCUCCUUUUCUCCUCUUGUUGUGCUAUUGAAUAAACCUCAUUUAGGUUAGGGAAGGGUUCGAUUAACAAAAUUUGUGCCUUAAUUCCCUUGUACGAAUCAUUCAAACCCAUCAAGAACUUCAUCACCCAAUCCCUCUGUUGAUUCUGAACAACAGUCCUUAAACCCCCACAGUUACAACUAGGAAUAGUUUCAUAAUUCAAGGGUUUUUAGUUUUGAAAAAUAAAGACUCACAGGUUCUUGAUUCUGUAACAGCAUGGAUAAGGCUUGUUUGAUUUCAAAAAUUUGAGGCGCAUUUUGCUGAGCAAAAUGUUGCUCCAAUUCAAUCUAAAGUUGGUGUGCUGUCUCAGCAUGUGUGGUACUACGCUUGAUGUCAAUGGACAUUGUGUUUAGCAUCCAGGUAAUUACAAUGUCGUUACAGUGUAGCCAAUACUCCAUGAGAGAGUCAUUUGGGUCGUUGGUUCACGUAUGCUAUCGUCGAUGAAUCCUAACUUGUUCUUGAUACAUAAUGCCCUCUUCAUUGAUCUGGCCCAUAAGUGAUGGUUAUUGGCAUCCAAGGUAUGAGUGACAAGCAUGGCGCCAGUACUAUCAUUGCUACCAAUGAAAUAUGGGCUACUAGGAUGGGCAGGAUCGUGUAUAACAGUAUUAGAGUUAUCUGACAGGUUGGUGUUUGGAUUUUAGCUUUGGGAUUGAUUUGAAUUUGGGUUUCCAACGUCUGAAUCCUCCAUCCCUUGCUCUGAUACCAUUUUAGAAAUGCAAGAAAACAAUAUAAUCAACUUCUGCAACAGUAAUUGAAGAGAAUGGAAAAGGGUUCUAUUAAUUUUCUCUUAUCAAUCUUCUGCACCCAAGGCCAGUAUAUAGGCCUAUUUUAC
rnacentral:lncRNA from 1 species